GAUGAACGCUGGCGGCGUGCCUAAUACAUGCAAGUCGAGCGAAAAGACGAGGAGCUUGCUCCUCUGACGUUAGCGGCGGACGGGUGAGUAACACGUGGAUAACCUACCUAUAAGACUGGGAUAACUUCGGGAAACCGGAGCUAAUACCGGAUAAUAUAUUGAACCGCAUGGUUCAAUAGUGAAAGACGGUUUUGCUGUCACUUAUAGAUGGAUCAGCGCCGCAUUAGCUAGUUGGUAAGGUAACGGCUUACCAAGGCAACGAUGCGUAGCCGACCUGAGAGGGUGGUCGGCCACACUGUAACUGAGACACGGUCCAGACUCCGACGGGAGGCAGCAGUAGGGAAUCUUCCGCAAUGGGCGAAAGCUUGACGGAGCAACGCCGCGUGAGUGAUGAAGGUCUUCUGAUCGUAAAACUCUGUUAUUAGGGAAGAACAAAUGUGUAAGUAACUAUGCACGUCUUGACGGUACCUAAUCAGAAAGCCACGGCUAACUACGUG
rnacentral:rRNA from 1 species